CCCACCAUGAAGUGGUUCAGCUCCACCUUCCUGCUCGCUCUGCUGGCGACGCUGCUGGCGGUCGCCACGGCAGCUCCUGGAGGAGGAGGAGGCGGUGGCGGUGGUGGUGGCCGAUAUGGAGGCGGUGGCGGCGGCGGCGGCGGCGGUGGUGGAGGCUGCCACUGGUGGUGGUGUAGGGGGAAGUAGCAUCACCACUGUUCUCCGAAAUAUACCGAUCUGAUCUGAACGGACUGACGGACCAAACUGAACACUUAACCACUGCAGCAUGAUGAAGACGACCGCGGCGUGUAGCUUAGAUCUACUGAUUAAUUGGCAACGUUGGCGAUGCAUCCAUUCGGUCAUUAGCAAGUUGGAUGUGCCACGCAAUACACAUAAAACUUUUUUUCUGUU